GCCAUCGUAGCUCAGUUGGUAGAGCGCGUCCUUGGUAAGGACGAGGUCACCGGUUCAAUCCCGGUCGAUGGCU
rnacentral:tRNA from 1 species